rnacentral:rRNA from 1 species
GAAGGUGUAUCUAGAAAGACAAAUUAGAGCUUGAAAAGUAAAGCAUUUCAUUUACAUUGAAAAGUAUAUUGUGUGAUUCAAUUUAAUUUGAUAAUAAAAAUUUAUUAAUUUUUUUUUGUUUAAAAGUUUAUUUAAUAAAAUUAAUUUUAAAUUAAGUUUUUUUUUGUAUAGUAUAUAGAUUAAAUAAUUUAUAUAAUAGUUAAUUAGUAUUGUAAAAGAAUAUUGAAAUAUAUGAAAAAGUUUUAAAUUAAAAGUAAAUUUUAUAUAUUGUACCUUGUGUAUCAGGGUUUAUUAAUUAAAAGUUAAUAAAUUUAAUUUUUCUCGAAUUUAAGAGAGUUAAUUUAUUAUUUAAUUUUUUGUCUCAUAAAAAUUUAAAAUAAUAAGUUAGAAAUGAAAUGUUAUUCGUUCUUAAAUAUAUCUAGUUUUUUAAGAAAUAAAUUAAAUUUAGAUUAUUAAUAGAUAAUUAUUUAUUUAAAUAAUGAAUUAUUAUUAAUAAUUAAUAUUUUAAGGGAUAAGCUUUAAAGUAAGUUUUAUAAUAAUUUUUUAAUUUGAAAAUUAUAGGUUUAGAAAUAGUCAUUAAUUAUAAAAAUGUUAUAAUUUAUUUUAAAUUAAAAAUAAUUUUUAUUAAUUUAAGUUUUUAUUAAAAUAAUUUUUAAAAUUAUAUAAAAAUUAAAAUAAUGAUAAAAUUAGUAUAUUUAAUUGUUUUAAAUAAAUGAAUUGAAAGGUUAAAUUAAGGAACUUGGCAAAUAAAUACUCGCCUGUUUAACAAAAACAUGUCUUUUUGAAAAUAAUUUAAAGUCUAAUCUGCCCACUGAAAAAUUUUAAAGGGCCGCGGUAUU